rnacentral:rRNA from 1 species
GCUUGCUUUUCUGAUGACGAGUGGCGCACGGGUGCGUAACGCGUAUGCAAUCUACCUUUUACAGGGGGAUAGCCCAGAGAAAUUUGGAUUAAUAUCCCAUAGUAUCAAGAGUCGGCAUCGGCAUUUGAUUAAAGAUUUAUCGGUAAAAGAUGAGCAUGCGUCCUAUUAGCUAGAUGGUGUGGUAACGGCACACCAUGGCAACGAUAGGUAGGGGCCCUGAGAGGGGGAUCCCCCACACUGGUACUGAGACACGGACCAGACUCCUACGGGAGGCAGCAGUGAGGAAUAUUGGACAAUGGGCGCAAGCCUGAUCCAGCCAUGCCGCGUGCAGGAAGACUGCCCUAUGGGUUGUAAACUGCUUUUAUACGGGAAGAAACACUCCCUCGUGAGGGAGGUUGACGGUACCGUAAGAAUAAGGAUCGGCUAACUCCGUGCCAGCAGCCGCGGUAAUACGGAGGAUCCAAGCGUUAUCCGGAAUCAUUGGGUUUAAAGGGUCCGUAGGUGGAUAAUUAAGUCAGAGGUGAAAUCCUGCAGCUCAACUGUAGAAUUGCCUUUGAUACUGGUUAUCUUGAGUCAUUAUGAAGUGGUUAGAAUAUGUAGUGUAGCGGUGAAAUGCAUAGAUAUUACAUAGAAUACCAAUUGCGAAGGCAG